CUAGUUGUUGAAGGCCCUGCUGCUACUUCUUCUAAGGAUGAUAAUUUGGGUUCGUCCUGCUCUGCUGUCGACUGUCAUGGAGUUCUACCAAGUUCAACCAAUGUUCCCUCUAAGUCAUGCCCUUUUAUUGAUUUUCCUGCACCAACUCCUCCUGCAAACCCAUUUCCAACACCAUCCCCCAAGCUUUCUCCCGCAUCAUCCGAACAUGUCAUUGCCAAUAAUGCCAAUAAUGGCAAUAACGGCAAUAACGGCAAUAACUUGGUUGAAGAAACUCUUCUUAAAACACUCGAGGAUAUGGGAUUCAAACAGGUUGAUCUAAAC
rnacentral:lncRNA from 1 species